rnacentral:rRNA from 1 species
GAUGAACGCUGGCGGCGUGCCUAAUACAUGCAAGUCGAGCGAACAGACGAGGAGCUUGCUCUUCUGACGUUAGCAGCGGACGGGUGAGUAACACGUGGAUAACCUACCUAUAAGACUGGGAUAACUUCGGGAAACCGGAGCUAAUACCGGAUAAUAUAUUGAACCGCAUGGUUCAAUAGUGAAAGACGGUUUUGCUGUCACUUAUAGAUGGAUCCGCGCCGCAUUAGCUAGUUGGUAAGGUAACGGCUUACCAAGGCAACGAUGCGUAGCCGACCUGAGAGGGUGAUCGGCCACACUGGAACUGAGACACGGUACAGACUCCUACGGGAGGCAGCAGUAGGGAAUCUUCCGCAAUGGGCGAAAGCCUGACGGAGCAACGCCGCGUGAGUGAUGAAGGUCUUCGGAUCGUAAAACUCUGUUAUUAGGGAAGAACAAAUGUGUAAGUAACUAUGCACGUCUUGACGGUACCUAAUCAGAAAGCCACGGCUAACUACGUG